UCUCUCCAGAUACCUUACCCCUCAGAUCUAAACACUGACCUGAGUAGCUAAAAAAGGAGGGUAUGUAAAACUGAAAUGGACUUGGAUUCUUUGGUAACAUUCAAGUUCAUUUCAAAUAUAU
rnacentral:snoRNA from 1 species